CUCUUCUCUUUUCCUUGCUGUCCCCCGAGGUUGGAGGAACACAGGCCUCCUCAGUCCCUGGGCCUCAGCCUCACUGGACUACCAUCACUUUCCAAGGGCAGGGCACGGGGACCAGGAAUGAGAGCAAAAGACUGAUGAGUAGAGCCGAGUGAGCCUGUAACUGCGGCAUUCGGGAAGCAGAAACAGAAGACCUGUGAGUUCGAGGCCAGAAAAAAGAAAGAAUAAAAGACUCUAAAUAACCCAAAACGAUAAAGAGCUGGUUACAGAAAGUGUGACGGCGGGACAACUACCCAGCCACAGCAAUAUCGAGCCACAGCAACAUGCAGCAACACGGGAGAAAGAAGCGAUACCACAAGUUUCCUCUGUUUACUCUCUGUUAUGAAAAUAAAUGAUAGCCGGGCA